AGUCCUGCACGAUGAACUGCAAAUUCAAACACGCACCCAAAAAGGUGCCGGGGCU
rnacentral:tRNA from 1 species